rnacentral:misc_RNA from 1 species
GAAAAGGCAUCCAUAAGGAAAGAGAACUGAAUAAAAAAUCACAAUACUCAUGAAAGACUUUACUAAAGAAACCUCAACAGAAACACAUAAAACACGGUCACUUAAUGAAAUGAAAAAUACACUGCUCUGAAGUUCAAUAGAUGCAAGAAUUGAACGAAAGGAACAGUUUAAGUGCAGGUCCGAUGAACGCCAAAACCACCCAUGUAAACUAAAUAUGCCAUAGACAAGACUAAAAAACCCCUACGUCAAAGCCCGGAUAUCCAAAUUGCAGUGCAAGCACCGAAGACUAAAGCUGACAGAGGAUCACAUGUAGGUAACAACCAAGCUUUGAAAUUUCCAAAUCUGAA